rnacentral:tRNA from 1 species
CCUCUCGUGGCGUAGGGGUAACGCGCCCUAUCUAGAGAACAGGGAGUUGUGUGUUCGAUUCUCACCGAGAAGA